GACGAACGCUGGCGGCGUGCUUAACACAUGCAAGUCGAACGGAAAGGCCCUGCUUUUGUGGGGUGCUCGAGUGGCGAACGGGUGAGUAACACGUGAGUAACCUGCCCUUGACUUUGGGAUAACUUCAGGAAACUGGGGCUAAUACCGGAUAGGAGCUCCUGCUGCAUGGUGGGGGUUGGAAAGUUUCGGCGGUUGGGGAUGGACUCGCGGCUUAUCAGCUUGUUGGUGGGGUAGUGGCUUACCAAGGCUUUGACGGGUAGCCGGCCUGAGAGGGUGACCGGCCACAUUGGGACUGAGAUACGGCCCAGACUCCUACGGGAGGCAGCAGUGGGGAAUAUUGCACAAUGGGCGGAAGCCUGAUGCAGCAACGCCGCGUGCGUGAUGACGGCCUUCUGGUUGUAAACCGCUUUCGCCUGUGACGAAGCGUGAGUGACGGUAAUGGGUAAAGAAGCACCGGCUAACUACGUG
rnacentral:rRNA from 1 species